GUUCCCGUAGCAUAAUUGGAUAAUGCAACGGACUUCUAAUCCGUAGACUGUAGGUUCGAGUCCUACCGGGGAUACUA
rnacentral:tRNA from 1 species